AACGUAGGUGGCGAGCGUUAUCCGGAUUUAUUGGGCGUAAAGAGCGUGUAGGCGGCUAGGUAGGUCCGUUGUGAAAACUCGAGGCUCAACCUCGAGCUGUCGAUGGAAACCAUCUGGCUAGAGUCCGGAAGAGGAGAGUGGAAUUCCUGGUGUAGCGGUGAAAUGCGCAGAUAUCAGGAAGAACACCCGUGGCGAAAGCGGCUCUCUGGAACGGUACUGACGCUGAGACGCGAAAGCGUGGGGAGCGAACAGG
rnacentral:rRNA from 1 species